UCCUCGAUAGCUCAGUUGGUAGAGCAAACGACUGUUAAUCGUUGGGUCGCAGGUUCGAAUCCUGCUCGAGGAGCCA
rnacentral:tRNA from 1 species